AUCGCUUCUCGGCCUUUUGGCUAAGAUCAAGGGUAGUACAUAAAAUAGUUCUGCAAUCUACUUUUUCACUUACUCUAUUGUCAUAAACAUUUGACUAUGAUUAAAAAUUAUCUGUGUACACAAUUUUAAUUGCAAUGAUACUACAU
rnacentral:snRNA from 1 species